UACGUAGGGGGCUAGCGUUGUCCGGAAUCAUUGGGCGUAAAGCGCGUGUAGGCGGUCCGGUAAGUUCGCUGUGAAAGUCGGGGGCUCAACCCUCGGAUGCCGGUGGAUACUGUCGGGCUUGAGUACGGAAGAGGCGAGUGGAAUUCCUGGUGUAGCGGUGAAAUGCGCAGAUAUCAGGAGGAACACCAAUUGCGAAGGCAGCUCGCUGGGACGUUACUGACGCUGAGACGCGAAAGCGUGGGGAGCAAACAGG
rnacentral:rRNA from 1 species